CCUACGGGAGGCAGCAGUGAGGAAUAUUGGUCAAUGGUCGGGAGACUGAACCAGCCAAGCCGCGUGAGGGAUGAAGGUACAGAGUAUCGUAAACCUCUUUUGUCAGGGAACAAAGGCGGGGACGCGUCCCCGGAUGAGUGUACCUGAAGAAAAAGCAUCGGCUAACUCCGUGCCAGCAGCCGCGGUAAUACGGAGGAUGCGAGCGUUAUCCGGAUUUAUUGGGUUUAAAGGGUGCGUAGGCGGUCUGUUAAGUCAGCGGUAAAAGCCCGGGGCUCAACCCCGGCCCGCCGUUGAAACUGGCAGUCUCGAGUUGGCGAGAGGUAUGCGGAAUGCGCGGUGUAGCGGUGAAAUGCUUAGAUAUCGCGCAGAACUCCGAUUGCGAAGGCAGCAUGCCGGCGCCGAACUGACGCUGAGGCACGAAAGCGUGGGUAUCGAACAGGAUUAGAUACCCGUGUAGUC
rnacentral:rRNA from 1 species